ensembl:lncRNA
UGAAAAUGGGACUGUUUCGUGUGAGGAUUUACUUCGUGCUCCUUCCACAGAUCUUUCUGUUUGCCUUGGGCUGUGAUUUCCUGUGGGCAAUGAUGGAGGAACAGCACGGUCUAGAUAAACUCUACUUAACUUGCUUAUUGGGAUGGAGGUGGAUUGGCUUUGUCCUUUUUCCAGGAGUCAAGACUGAAGAAUUACAGAAAUACUGCAGUGUUAUCAAGUGGCCUCCAGGAAUCCCAGGCCACUGAGAAGAGAUGAAAAAACUAGAUGAAAGAAGAUUGGAUGGUGGCAGAAAAGAGCCAAGCUGGGGAGCACUUAUAUUGGAUAUAUGUACAUCUGGG